CACACACACACACACACACACACACACACACACGCACAGAUCCAUACACGUUACACUGGAAAGAUGUCGGUACGCAGAUUCGAAUGUCUGCGUAGGGAAUGGUACCGUACGACACACGAACGCUUACAUACAUUUACACUUGACACGCACACCCACACAUACAUACAAUUAGGAUAUUGAAACUUGUGCGCGCGCUCUCGAUAAAAGGAGAAAAAGAAAAAGAAAAACAAUGAGAGGUGUACAUACGAGGCAAACGCAGGAAGAAGGGAUUUAACAUGAGCACGCGCGCUUAACACGCGAGUUGAGACGAAGAAGGCACGCACGCGCGUACACGGACAUAUACUCGAGUGUACAAAACUUGUACAAAAGAUAUUUAAACAAACAAACAAACAAACAAACAAAAAAAAAAAAAAAACGAUGCACGCCGCAGCCCGGCCGGGGUUGCUGCCGAUUGGUAAAGGGAACAAGCCAAAGAUACGUUAGUUUUCAUUUUUAUAUUUAAACGAGAAAAACAAAAUGAUACGAGACGGGAGAGAAAUACGAGAGAAUUAUUAUAACGAUUAUUAAUCAUGAAUGUGUGAACAAGGACGCUGAAUACUAUAUUAGGCCGGUUCUUAGCUUUUUUCUAUCGAUGGUGUUCCGUCGCCGCGCUGGACCAUGCCGCCGUGCUUGGUCCCUCGGCGCUUCGGAGUCGGGACAGUUGCGUUUAAGCUUGAAUUUUUAUCUUUUCUCUUCGCUAAAUGCAGUGAAAUUCCAAUGGUGUUUAAUUCUUUGCUCUCCACCUUUCGUAGAACGAGAUGGCGCCCGGGGGACCCUUCGGAGAGCUUCCUCUGGCGGGAGGGAACGCGGAUUCCCCUGUCGAGGAACAUGGUCGCGCGUGCGCAUCCGCGGAACACCGAGGAGUGACAAUUGACCGCGCGCGGUAAUUACGUAGUUCCGUAGAAUUUUUGCAUGCGAGGCUCGAUUUCCAAAUUUCACGGCAAAAAGAAAGAGGUUUUCUUUUCUGGAAGCGAGCCGCGGCUGGACGAUGGCCUUCCAAUGGCCGCGGUGCGUUUAACGCGCGUGUUACGCCGUCGCCCUCGACGAGCCUGUCGCGAAACGAACUCGUCGAGUCGCCGAUGAACGCGCUCUUCUGUUGAAGGAACAAAGCAAAUUAUUAUGUGGAAUAUAAAUAACGAUAUAUAUAUUACAUAUACGUAAUAUAUGUAUAUAUAUAUAUUUAUUAUACGAUUAAAGAAACCAGUGAAAAAAAAAAAAAUAUAUAUAACGAAACAGUUAGAGGAGACAAAUCGCGAUGAAAAAGGUGCAAGCUCAAUACGCCCAGCUUCGAUCUGGUGGCGUUCUUCUUCAUCCUCUACUUCAUCUUCAUCCUCCUCCGCUCUUCUUCUGCUACCACCCAUCCGUGCUUCCUCUCGCGAGGGGGCGCGAUCGACUCGUAGCUGAAGGACGUAUGUUUGCUUCGACGACACUGAGCUAAUCGGACAUUUUUCGGUGUAUUCGUUGCAGGGUAAAUUCAGUGUCUUCUUAGUGAUCGCGAGCUUAACUCUGGCUCGAGAGAGACGAUCUUGGAUUUUUCGAUUAUCGCAUUGCUGUUGUAGCGCGGCGAUAAUGCGCGUCGUUUACGUUCAGGUUCGGUUCAGAGCGGAACUGAACGCCACGAAAAAUACGCUAAGUAACGCGCCGAGACUUUCGUGGCGCUCGGUUCACGCCCGAAGACUGUUUUUAGGCGCUAGUUCGAGAAAAAUGUAAUUCGGCGACGUCACGCAUGACUGUAUUUCGCCAACGGUAUUCCGCGUCGACCGCUUCCAAUCCGUGUGCCAAAGAUACGCGAAAUUCUGAUGGAAAAUAAAGUAUCGCGUUCGAAUUAGUGUUCGCGAGCUUUCCGUGCUUCCUGUCGUACAUCUCUCGAAGUUCCUCGUCCUGGACGAUCCGUGUUGUCCUUUUUCUUGUCGAAAUUUCUAUGUUUUGUCGCGUCUCGUUAUCUUCUUCGUUUCCUUUCUUAUCUUCUAACAUUAGCGAAAAGGCCACCUCGCGUUGUCGUUGCUUUUCAUUUCUUUGUUUGUAUUUGUUCGAAUAGACGAAGCGUGCAAUACGUCACGUUUGAUUUAUUUUUUUUUUUUUUUUUUUUUAAAUCUCAAUCUCGUAGCACUACUGUGAUCGACGCUUCGUCUCGUUAAGUUCGCUCAAAAUUAUCGCAAUCUUCUAUGCGAUUCGAUUUCUGUAAAUAUAUAUACAUAUAUAUAUAUAUAUCGUUUCUCGUUGUACAUAUUUAUUGAUUCCUCUCGGAUCCUUUCGUUCACUGUUCUCGGGAGAUCGUCUCAUUGUCGAUCAGCGAACAAUUUUUUAGAGAUAUUUAUCGCGCGUCUGAGAUCAUCGUGCAACUUCAAAUUAUUGUCAUGUUAUUCUUUAUUAUUAUUAUUAUUAUUAUUAUUAUUAUUAUUAAUUUUUUUUUUCAUUUUUGCUUCGUCGUUUGCGCGGAUGAACUUUUAAUCGAAACGAAUAGCCGAUGCCUGUUUCGCGAGUAAACAACAAAUUAAUCAUGGUAUAUAUUUAUAUACGUAGAAACGCUGCGUUUCUAUUCCUAUAUAUAUACGUAUAUUAUCUAGUGUGUUUUUUUUUUACGAAUUUGUUAGAUAACACUGAGCGAAAUAGAGACAGAGAUUCGUUUUUUCAUAUGCAUAUAUAUUAUCCAUAUAUAUGUAUAUACAUACGCUAAGUUAAGCAUUAACUUAUUUUUACUGUUAUUAUUUAUAAUAAUUUUUAAUGAUUGCGACGAUGAAAAAUUGUAUGCAAUUGGCGUGUUUAUUCGACGAAACAUUUUGUCUCUUUUUUCACCUAUCCAAGAGCCACGGCCAACCAAACAAAAAAAAAAAUGAUACAAAAGGAAAAAAGACUCAAAAAAAAAAACUACCACCAGUACACUGUCCGCCACCGUCAUCCCCCUCCAGGAUCUUCACGUUGUCCUCUUCGUCUUCGUCAUCAACCAUCGGCUCUUCGCCCUUUCGUCGUCCCGUUCUUCAUUCGCAGAUCCCCUUGUCCACCCCAACCAUCCAACCUAACACGCUAUUCUUCGUAUAUCGUCGAAAUGAACGACGUAUCGUGAAGUACACGCGAAAGAAAAGAAAUAAAAAAAAACAGAAAAGAGAGAGAAAAAAAUAAGUGGAACGUAGACGGUGCGACGGUCACCGAACGACAAACGACGGCAUCGUUCUUCGAGCGAGAAAAAAAAAAACAAACGGUUAUCCAACAUAAUUAUAGCAUCUGUCUAUGAAAAUGAGAGAAAGAGAAAAAAAACAAAAAAGAGACACACACUCACACACGUAAGUUAUAUCGAAAUAAUUAGUGAGAGACGCUGUAUGAUUGUGUAUAUCAACAAUAAAUAAUUGCUGUGAUUAGAAUCGAUUAUUAGUAAGUAGUUAAGGACAAUUUUUAAGGCGCAUCGCAUGAGAUAAAAGAAUGGGGGGGGGGGAAAAAGGAGAGAAAUGGAGCACUUGGUGUUCGCGCAUCGCGUGUGUGCGUCCGUGUGUAUGUGUGUGUUUGCGCGCGUGUGCGAUGAGAGACUGUGAAAGAAAUGGAAAAAAAAAAGGGGUGGAAACGAGAGACGAACAGAAUAGGAGAGAGAGAGAGAAGAGACACAUCGCGUGCCAGAGAAGAAAACUGCGAAGAGAGAGAAAAGAAUGAAUAAUAGAAGCGAACGCGUUUCAUAGGGGUGACUUAAGAGGCUUUACGUUUUCGUUUUCCCCCAAAAUGGCGAAUCAAGUACGUGCGCGCGUGCGUGUAAUCCUCCUCGAUCGUCGAGAGGCAUUACGCGAGUCUGAAUAUAGCUAUCCUUGCAUUAGGACAGUGUAGAUCCAUGGGAGAACGCUUCCUUUAAGGAGGACUCAAUCGGGAGGCGAUUGCCGCGCGCGUUUACGUAGACAAACACAAACAUACACACACACACACAUACACCACCAUAGUGCUCUCCUCGAUCGAGUCACUCUGCCUUGGAUCAGAAGUUUCGCUUAAUUGAUCUGGACCAGAAUUUAAUGUCCUUUUAACCCUUUGCGAUACAGAUUUUCUGAUUUUAGCAGAGUUCUGUCGAGUCUCGCUCGACACAGAAAUGCAAAAGGUUAAUCUAUCGCGCAACCCUUUCGGUACCGGGACCGCUUACAAACGCUCAGCGACCAUCUGUGGGCGUCCAUCCGGAACGGUAGCACCGAAAGGGUUAACGGCGAGUCGACAGAGGAGAGCGCACCGUCCACCCUCGAGAGUGGACGGAUCGAGAACAACCCUGCGUUUCCAAAGUCCCCUGGUAACUUUGAUUUUAUUCCACGGCGGAGAACGGUGGUCGGUGCGAGCAUUUUUCAUUUCUUCUCGUCUGUUGUCGCGGGUGUCUAUAUCCAUCGAGUGCAUCGCCACUGUCCACCGAGCUUCGACCAAACCAAAUCCAAUCGAACCCAAGGCCCUCGAUGGUUUCCCCCGUAAUUCGUCCCCACCCCCCCUCGACCCGGUUAUCGUUUCCAUCCUCCUCCCAAACCACUGAAUUUCCUCUCUCGUCGCGCGACCAGAAACCAUCGUCGCGCCUGAUAUACUCCAGAAGCAUAUCCGGUGACACAUAUGACUAGGCUACGAAUAAUUAACCUCUCUUUUGCUCCGAUAAGCAAGCUCAUAUUUAUUCGGCGUGUAUUGUCACUCUCAAAUAGAUGAUUAAUUGUAUACUUCGUCGGGACAUCUCUAACACGUAGAUACCUUCGAUCAGUCGAGUCUUGGUAGUGUCUAGUAGCCACUAAGGCGUCGUCUGUCAAGUGUAAUUUUGGUAUUAACGGUGAAGGGAGCCGCGUCAGAGGGUUCGGCUGACGAAAGGGGACGUCUCGCGGGUACGCGCCACGUGAACUUCGUGGUAUUACUCGAAUUACAAUGUGGAAGAACAGUGUUUUGAAGAACAAGCGACGUGUGUGAGCGAAAGUGGGAGAGGAGACGUCAAGGGACGCUUGGAGCAACUUGGACUUCGGGAAUAUCAAGGUUCCUCCAGCUGUGCAAUGUCAUCCGGGAGUCGAAAAGGAUCUCGACUCGUCCAGUAAGGGACAUUUGAUCACCUGGACCUUUGCUUGAUGGUACACACGGUACAAGUCCAUCCACCUAAAAGGACCUCCGGAGCUCCAUGUCGACUACAUGCUCGUACCAUGUCAUCCAAGCUUGAAACAAUCUGCAGGCUUGUGUGCUAAUAUACAAUUGAUGCGGAUCUAAGAUUUGAAGAGAUCACCAAGUUUUCUGAAACUUUAUUUGCUGAUAUAACAUCGUUAAUUGAAUUUGAGAGGACCUGAAGCUUCGAGUACUGAGUACUAGAGUCUUAUCCAAGAUUCUUGAAGACCUCUUGAGUUGUUUCUUGAGUACAUCAGACUUGAGUACGAAGCCCCUCGCCACCUUCUUCGUAUACACAACAUGUACGAGCAGCUCGAUUCGAGAAAGAAUGGUAUCCGUGCGUCGAGCAUUUUUGGCUUUCCCGUAGCCAACGAAACUGGGGGUUCCCUACAGGAAGUCCAACUAGAAAACGUCGAUCUGAUCGUUCCCACCCUCCCCCUUUCGUCUUGUCACUUGCCCUCGAACGAAAUUUAUUGAGAAACGAGGACGUUGCGCGCGUCAACGUCGAUAGCAACGCGAUCGUAUCGUUGUGGCGUAGAGCAAUCUGUUAGUGCAGGGGCCUUAUCCUUACUGCGCGGGUCCUGGCGGGGAUUCGUCGCGAAAGCAAUCGCCAAUUUCUAGACCACGAUAGAGAACAAGACGAUAAAGAAGAAACGUUGCCAAUAUGGGAAUAAGAAGAUUGGAACGAAGUAGCGAUACGUACUGUUCAGAGCAAUUGGGGAUCGUGUAUUAUUUGUACAGAACCAAGAAGACAUUGCAAUCCUGAAUUACAGUAAUAUAUCAUUCACAGAGCACGAAGAUUUUCAUUUCAAGAUGUAAUAAUCCAUAUGUGAGUGGGAGCAUUCCAGAUCCAAAGAAUCCGCCUCCAUAGCAGAGAGUUGAUCAGCCAACGUUCAUGGACAUGCUCGAAUUAAUCGAAGAAGCUGAAGAUCCUCCACUUGUUUCGAACAGUACACGUAGGAAUUAAUCAGUAUUAAUAUCAGCACCGGAUCAGCUCGAUUCACGUUUGAGGAGCAUAGUCCAGCGAAGAAAUCUAAAGUACACGAAGCGACCAGACGGUUCUAGUGUCCCAGAAUGGCGGCCAAGUUGUCGAUGGACGCAUCCUCGAACGAUGAAACCCCCGUUCGUGACGGAUCGUCGUCAGGUGCCCAACCUUACCGUAACGCAAGGCAAUCAGCUAAGAAAUAACUUAGUUUUUAUAGGAUAUUGAAACACGCGCUCUACUUUGGCGGGGCGCUGAAUUAAGGGCAACACCUUUCUAUCUCUCGUCUGAAGGGCGCGUGGAACAAAAUGGUCGAGCGCGAUCGAGCGUUUGGCCAAGAUUCUCAAUGGCAUAUUUUUCUGUAACGAUUGAGAGCGAGAGAGAAAGAGAGAAAUGGAAGAAAUAACGUUGUAUUUAUAAAAAGAAAAAACAAAAAAACAAACAAACGAUAAUAAUGCGAAGGACUAAAGAGAACUUCGAGUAAGCGAGACACGCAAGAUGCUGGAUGGCAGAGAUGCAUGGAUGCGCGCGAGUUUUUCAUUGUUUUCCUCUUUAUGUGUGCCAAAAAAAUACAAACGAAAAAAUAACAAAAAAAAAAAAAAGAGAGUACGAGAAGAAAAAUUUGAGGAUCGUGGAGAUUGUUCAGCGAGCGGCUCAACCUUGUGCCAAGCUUAGAUAAUACGCGGACUGAAUAAUAAACACGUGUGCCAAAUCGUCGUUACACCUCCACCGCUGCAGCUGUUUCGAGUAUAGGUAGGCUCUGUUCUGUCGUUUCUCCCUCGUUGCCGUGCCCUGCUUGCCAGCCUUCGGUCCACGCGCUUUGUUCACCUGUGGAACGAUAACCGCAGGCUUGGUCCGAGCAGUGACGAGAAGCCGGCAAACGAGCGACGGAAGGAAACGUUGGCCAGCAUCGUUCGCGAAAUGUCCGCUUUCUGGGUCGAAGCAGAGACACACUCGACACCGUCGAAUCCUCGUGGAGAUGAGGGCGAGUCCAACAACUCCACGCAAAUGGCUCGAAAAAAAAAACCCGUAACAGGGUCAAGCGGUCUCGCGGAUUGCCAGAGGAUCCUCGAUUAGGUACCUCGAGUUUUCUCCGCUUUGUUGCCAAGUUUCCAAGCUCGUAUCACCAGGAGAGUCGGACAUAUGUGCCAAAUCGACGUCGCUCGCGAGUUCGAGCGUUAGGAGAGAUAAAUAAACGGAGAAGUGGAAGUUACGUUUGACCCGAUGGCCGAAGUGUCAGAGGCGACUCUGUAAGUGGACGUUUCGGACGCACGACGCGUCGACGAAGUGGAAUUUCGUUUUCUACGGCAGUUCAGAUCCUACCCGAAUUAGUGACGUGCCCUUGUCGGGCGCAAGAGACAGGGAUUAUGUAAAAAUACGAAAGUCUGACCUUGCGAAUAUUGGGAACUCCAGUCAUCCACUCGAAAUGUCGUCUCGCGUUAUCCAGCGACGAUAACGGGGUAGCGCGCUUCCGUUUACGAGAACCGAGCUAAACGUAUCUUCUCCCAUCGAUGCGAAUCCCCGAUACCCCCCCCCCCCCCUUCUGUCUUCCCUUUCGUUCUUCUCUUACGUCUUCUUCGGUAGCUGCACAACUGUUCGCGAUCGACGCAGAAGCUGGGCGAAUGCGUUUCGACGAUCCGCGAUAGGCUGGGAGAAAGAUCAGGAAUGGAUAAGUUGUGAUCGCAGGUGCUCGUCGUACGAUGUUGCAUAUCAAGCUUUGUGAACGCUGUAAUCAGACCGUGGGCAACUCAUCUAUUUACCUCGAGACGAAAGAUGCAGGAUAUCAGCCUAGGAAACAGUGAAAGUAGCUGAUAAAGAAGCGAAGUGCCAGGAAGAAAGGCAAACAAAUUAGGAUGGAUGUAGAAAGAGAAACCAAGACUGCAUUCAGAAUGGCUGACACUUCUUGCAAGUUUAAAGUAAAAGUGUUUUAGGUGACGUUGAACAACCGACUGAGUCCGAGCCGACUACAAGCGUUCACUGGAGCGUCGCAAAUGUCGCACAAGAUCGGAAGAGUACGGCGAUCACGGUAAAUGUUGACAGAAUUGUUCCGCGCGAGUAUUUUAUACGAUUUACAAGUAUUACUAUAAUUAACCUCCUCUUUGAAUUGAUCGUAGGCGACGGCUAUUAGAGACUCGAGACCUUAAGACUUCCGUGAAUAAUUUCUGGACACUUAAAUGUAUCUUUCAUUGAUCUGGUCAAAUUGUUGGAGGCUUCCGAUAACGACAUAUCACAUUCAGGUGUCCGUGGACACAACGUACCGCGCGGAGGAUUCUUACAGUUUCGACUACAGUUUCGUGUAAUAUCAAGAGGAAACAAUGAAAGAAUAGUUUGGGUAGCGGCGCAUUUAAAAUUGAGUUACUCGUGACUUAGUAUCGCGGAUCGUUUCGCAUCGCCAUGUAAUUUUCUUCGUUGGUCCUUUGCAGCGAUCGGUUCGUCGUUGGAAUCACCGUAGCUGCGCGCGGAGGACGAAGCACGUGACACGAGAGACCAUGUUCCCCUUCCACGUUUUCCUUUGCACAAUCUGCACCAAAAACCGAUCCGAUCACGGCUAUAUGUGUGUAUACUUCGACCGUUCCUUCUCUUCUUCGUCAUCGACACGUCUUUCCUUUUUAUCUUCCUCGGCCGAUAACGACUUAUGUUGAAAAGCCUUUACGAAAACAGGGUCAAAAAUACUUACGUGUAAUACGAGUAUUUUAAAUUUUUAUCGCGGUUAAAAUGAGGUAAAAGAAAAAAAAAAAAAUGUGAAGAAUAAA